CCACCGUCGUCCCCGUCCCCGUCGCUGUCGCCCCAUCGCUCGUCGGAGCCGGUGGCCGCCGUCGUCCCUGUCGCCGUCGCCCCACCGCUCGUCGGAGCCGGCGGCCACCGCUGCGGGGGAGGCGGCGACGACGAGGAGAAUGGCGACAGGUGCGGUGAACAAGAGGGAGAGCGGGAGCGGGGGCGUGGAGGCCGCUGCCGGCGCCGGGGAAGCCGCCGCUGGCUCAGGACCCCGGCCGCCGAGGAGGACGACGACGGCGCGGCCUCGGCAAGGGUCGCCCUCAAGCUCGCCUCCCUUGCCGCGCCGCUCUGGCUCCCCGCCCUUGUCGCGGGCAAGGACGACGGCGACCUUGGCGAGGAGCGCGAGGGAGGAGGGGAGAGGCCCCGGUGCCGGCAGCAACGAGAGCGCCAGUGGAAGAAGCAGCGCCACAGCGCGUGGAGGCGGCACCGCAGCGGGCGGAGGACGACGUCGUGGAGGUGCGGCGAGAUCACCCUCGACGCCGCCCCGACCUCGCCGACGCCGUGCCGUCGUCGUCCACGGCCGCCGGAGACGACGACGACCCCUUCCUCCUGGCCAGCUUCAUCUCCGCCUCUCGUUUUCUUCUCCUGUGAGAGAGAGAGAGUUUGUGGAGGGGAAAGGAAGGAGAUAAGGUAG
rnacentral:lncRNA from 1 species